UGUGCGAUUGUUGGGUUUUAUGGUGUGUAUUUAAUUUUAUAAGGAAUUGCCAAGUUGCUUUGCAGAGUGACAUUACCAUUUUAUAUCCCCACCAGCAAU
rnacentral:pre_miRNA from 1 species